AAGAAAAGUUAGUUGUUUAACUAGCCAAUUAUGCAUGCAUAUGUGUUUUUCCUUAUUUUUGUAUUGCUUUGCAAGGUGGACGAAGUUAUGGACGUUUCGACUUUCAACCAGUGAUGAAUUGGAUGUACCCACCUUCGGAGAUAAACCGGUGAUGGAAAUUGCAAAGCAGCAUGGAGGUUAUCAACUACAGGUCCAUUUUUAAAAUUUGUAAUUACUAUCUUUUAAAUGAAUCUCUACUCUUAUGGAAGAGAGUGAGGGUAGAAGACUACAAUCUGUUAUGUUUCAUGGAAGAGGAUGAGGGUUUAUUCUUGCAACCUCACCUGGUACUGUUUCCCAUUCAGGUGUCCCUUUUCAGCUUUUGGGUGUUGAAAUCUCUUCCUAUCAGUAAAGCAUUUAGUCUGAACUUGAGUUUUCAAGGAAGCUGUUAGCAUAUAUAGAUACUGACAGAGCAAGCUGAAGUCUCUACAUGAUAUGAUCACUUGAAUUACUGGGUGAAUAUCAAAGUUUUCGUUGGGUGUGGCACAUCAACUGAACUGUUGGGGUGGUCUCAGUCGCAUAAUCCAUCACUAGGAAAUUUGUUGGUUGUCAUUGUAGGAAUUACUCUGGAAAUGUUCUUGGAAAUCUUUAAUUUCCCUCCUUACAAAGGAUUUUCAUGAAAGAUAAUGCCCAGUUUUAGAGUUCAAACUUCAUGAAUAGGGUAAAGAACAAAAGCUCAAGUGAUGCACACAGGGAGAAACUGAAAAUGCUAGAAAUGCUAUUGGAGCCAAAACAAACAUGAGCAAGAGAUUUGGUAAUACUUCUGUUGAUGACGCGGUCUGCACUACAGGUGAAACAGGGUGCAACAGCGAUGAAAUUCACAGCCUAUGAAACAGGGUGCAACUCAAUUAACAUGACUUGAGUUGAUAAAUUCACAUAUCUCCAGACUUACAACAGCAAUUUGCGCACCUUAUAUGAUCAAGCAAACUUAACAGGCAACUUAGCAUUGGCUCA